UAUUGUUCGGAAAUUUUGACGAGUCCCAUUUGCGUUUCAUUAUCCCUGCUGGUCUCGAAAAGGCAGAUCCGGUAUCAUUUAUCUGCCACAAUCGUCUUCUAUCUGCGAUUCUGUGUCUACCGCGGUUGUUCCAGGCGUUGACGUUUCUUCGAAUGUCACGAAUCUUGAAGACGGACCACGCAUAUAUCACUUGAGGAGACGUCAACUAACUUGUACCGGUCCAAGGUGUCAAGUUUAAUAUACCCAGAAACACUGUUUAUACGGUCUAUAUACCAUGCAGUAAACUAUAAUGCUCGAGUUGAGCUAAGUGUGUAUCUACACAUAAAAUUUCAGAGAAAGUCGAGAAAUUUAAUCGACGCCCCGAAUAACAGGCAUUGUAUUUGUCCCCUGAGUCGCGAUAAGUACUUGACUUUCUCGCCACUUAAAAUGCAUUAUAAUUGCCGCCGUUAGAUAAGAACGACUAUCUUGUGUGAGACAUUUGGAAAGUUUGCUCGCAUAAAUAUAGUACAUUACUAUUUCAUCAUCAUGUACACAUAUUUUGAUUGCAGGAUCAAGAAUAAUGGAGAAGAAGGAGAAACACGAGGAGCGCGGGAUACAUAUUUUUAUCGAACAAGAAAGCCAUUCUACCGCUCUUUAAAUAAAAUCACUCGAUGCAUGACGUUUGUUACUACGGCGUGUAAGUUUCAAGAUAUCCGCGACAGAUAGGAUAGUAGUGGUCCGUAUUGUUGCAAGAGUUCACGUAGUAUGGCCAGCACCUGCGAUAAAAGAAUGUAGUAAUUAUAGCAGGAUGUCUUUCGAAUCUUUCAAAUUUCAAUUAUUUUAACCUUUUGAGAACAAACAACUACUACAUUAUUUAAUAGUCUCUCUUUGAUUUUGUAAACUGCUCGCUCAAUUCUCAUGAAACUUUAUUAUUAUGAUUUAAAAUAAUGGAUAAUACUCAAAAAUCUGAAGUCAAAAAUACAAAAUUCAAAAAGGUAGAUAUAAUCUAGCGGAGAGAAGUUAAAAAAUCUGUUUAUCGUUCCAGGAAUUAUUAAUAUUACUUACUACUAAUAUCUAAUAAUAUCUUACUACUCUUUUGAAUUUUUUGAUAUUUUCAGGUUACAUUUUAAAAAUUCAACAAUUCCAAGGAUUCUUCUAAAAGCGAGUUUUAUGAUAAUCAGAUUUUUUUUUUGAAAUUUGAUUUACUUUAUUAUUUCAAAUUAAAAAAUUUUGAGAUCAGAAUCGAAGUGUUCCUCUCUGAAAACUUUAGAAAACUCACACGGGUCCUAUAUAAAUUUGUUGAAAACUAUUCUCAAAGAGUUAGUAAUUCAUUAAGUUAUAUUAUUUCAUUAACGUAAACAGAAUUACUAAUUUUUGUCAUA